rnacentral:rRNA from 1 species
AUUGAACGCUGGCGGCAUGCGUUACACAUGCAAGUCGAACGGUAACGCGGGGCAACCUGGCGACGAGUGGCGAACGGGUGAGUAAUGUAUCGGAACGUGCCCAGUUGUGGGGGAUAACUGCCCGAAAGAGCAGCUAAUACCGCAUACGACCUGAGGGUGAAAGCGGGGGAUCGCAAGACCUCGCGCAAUUGGAGCGGCCGAUAUCGGAUUAGGUAGAUGGUGGGGUAAAGGCUCACCAAGCCAACGAUCUGUAGCUGGUCUGAGAGGACGACCAGACAUACUGGGACUGAGACACGGCCAAGACUCCUACGGGAGGCAGCAGUGGGGAAUUUUGGACAAUGGACGCAAGUCUGAUCCAGCCAUGCCGCGUGCGGGAAGAAGGCCUUCGGGUUGUAAACCGCUUUUGUCAGGGAAGAAACGCUCUGGGUUAAUACCCCGGGGUAAUGACGGUACCUGAAGAAUAAGCACCGGCUAACUACGUGCCAGCAGCCGCGGUAAAAC